rnacentral:tRNA from 1 species
GCAUCCAUGGCUGAAUGGUGAAAGUGUCCACCAACCUAGAAAUGCAAAAUGGGUAAAAAAAAAAUGUAGGUUCGAUUCCUACCGGAUGCA